AACGUCCAGGCAGGUAUUUGCUGAACGUGAGUCUCUUAUUCCCAAUUGUGGGAGGCGCUGUAUAAAAGGGAAGCACGCAGUACGGUACACUCCCUGGAAUCCAGUUCCCACCCCAGUGGAGCUGGAAGUGUUGGGGGGGAACAAGACUCACACACAGGAUGAUAUGAGACAGAAUAUUCUGAGUGGAGACUCGUGGUGAACACCAGUGACAUAAAGCUUGGCUGGGCUUUGAAAUGCAGGAGAGGUGUGGUGAGUCUAGGAUUACGGAAAACAAGGUUAAGAAUCACAGUGUCUCUGAGUUUGUCUCACUAACUAACUCUGUGACUCUGAGCAAAUCGCUUGAUGAUGCCUUUUGUUGUUUAUAGAAUCCAGACAGCCCAGCCUCCCUUUAUCAUUCUCAAUCAGCACCAGCCCCAUUUCCACCUAACUCUGGAAUGCCGAGCCUUCCACCAGGUUCCCUGGUCCACAGCCUUGGAGGAAGCUGUGUCUGAGGAAUGUCUGCGUUUUCCACCCACACUGGCUGACAUCAUCCUCUCCACACCUAUUUUACUCUGCAUCUCUGGUACGUUGAUCCUCGGUACCAUCUCGUAACUGGAUAAAUUAACUACUUCAAGCCACUGUACCGCCAUCCUACAUGGCCGAGGAUGUCAGAAUCUCAGAGCUGAAAUGGGCAUGGAUGGUCACUUGGCUCAAGUCCUUUAGUUUCUAGAUUACAGCAUCAAAGAGCAGGUGGAAAAAAGGAGAGCUAGGAAAGACUGAGGCUGUAACCAAAGAUCCAAUCAAUUUACACUCAAAGAAUGAAGAGUGGCUGCUGUCAGUGUUAAACUGAAUUUGCUAGAGCCCUUGAUCACAUUCUCUGGGAUGAGUUCGUUCUGAAAAAGAGUCAUUCGAAUGAUGGCGGCUCUAUUGUUUUAAAGGUGUAACUUCCUAACCUCAUGUAUUAUUUUUCAUUGGUGUUAAUAUGUGAGAACAUGUGUGUAUGUGUGUGUGUGUGGUGUGCAUGUAUUGGUGUGUAUGUCUCUUCUUUGGCGACUUUGGGAACUCUCAGAACCAGAGAAUGAGGACUUUGCUAAUGUACCGUAUUUUUUGACCUUGGCUUCCUAUUAGCCCACUUAAUCCUCCUAUCACUACAAAUAAGUUAACUGAGGUUCAGGGAGGCUGUGGGAGAAGAUCUCUCCACCCACUCUCAGUCCGUAGCCCUUUCCUUUGUGACGUACCUCACAUUUAACAAUCCAGUCUUUAUUCCUAGCGGAGCGUCAGUGGGAAAAAAAGAAGGAAGGAGGCCAUGUUAAAUGCAGCUCCCUGCUUGUAUUGGGUGUAGACAGUGCUCCCCAGCUUGGCCAGGAUGCCUCAGUUCUGUUUGCCUUCUGCUAAUGAUGCUGGCCUGGCACAGAGCCUGUGUGCAUGUGUGAGAGAGGAGUGAGAGGGAACAAGUUACCCUGAUUCUGUUUAUAUUGGAUAAAAGCUUUGAUGCUUGAGCAUAAUCUGUAUCU